AUGACAUUAACAAAAAAGUAAGACUAGAACCUGUCUUUUGACUUAAGUCCCAGAAAUCUUAGGAAACUGGAAAAUGGAAAGUCAUUCAUUGAGGAAAGACCACAAUUCAGAUGGCUGAGCAAUUCACUGGACUUAUUGACUCUCUGAUAGUUUUUCACUUUUUCUUGGCCUUAAUACAUUCUGUGCUCUUAAAAACAGGAUCCCUAGAGAGAGAAGAGGUUAUAGGGACAAAUGGAGACUAACUCUGAGUUAUUCAAGUUCAGUGCCUGUACUGUGUGGAAUAUACAGUUUGAAAGGUAAUUGGGAGAAGGACACCACAUCGCCCCGUAGGUCUCUGCAAGCCCAGCACAAGCCUAAUGAGUGAUCAGAGGCUUAAGCCCAGAUUGCUUAAGAAUGCCUGUAGGGGGAUAGUCACCAAAGUUCGACUCUCUGACAGAACAGCUUGCUGCGGCUCUAAUGAACUGGCAAGAUUCUUGCAUCCCUGGCAUGUUGUUUUCUAUAAAACUGCAGAGCUGCCUUCAAUGAAUGUUUUACGAAUGGAGAAGUUGUUAUAUGAAGGAAGGCUGUUCCUAGUUCGUGGUUAUGAAAGUAUUAGGGUUCCUGUCUAAAGUAGAAAGGAACAGUAUGCUUUGAUCUGGGGAAAAAGAAGAGUGAGGAAAGAAAAAGGAAAUAUGAUUUUUAACUUGCAGAAAAAUAUCCUCUAUGUCAUCUACUGGAACACUUAAUUCUGGUUUUAAUCAGGAGAAAAAAAUUAGCCAAGAACAUGCCUGUGAAGAAGUUUUCCUUAUAUGAUCAUAUAAAUACAUACAUUUAAACCUCAAACUUUAUUUUUUUCUUAAAUUUUUAUUUGCAUUCAUGACCUUGAUUUACAUGCUUCAUUCUAGAGAUUUCCCACUUUACUUAAUUGCAUUUGGUUCUGAAAGUCAAGAUAUUCAUUAACAUAAAAAGACCUAAAAAUACAUUCUCUCCAAAUUGCUUUAUUUUAAUGUAUAUUGUAUAGAGGUAGCCUUUCUGGGUACCUACCUAGAGGAUGGAGAAUAAAAGUUAGUCACUAAGCUUCUGAAUGAAAAAAAAAAAAAAGAUCACUACCAUAUGUCUAUCCAUGCUUGCUUAUUGUUUCAAAAGAUAUUGUUCUGUUUAACCCUAUUCUACAAUAUCAUGAAAAAUUAGCAUAGCUGUUAAUUGCAUGGUCUGUUGCUAUUUAUGUCCUUUUCCUAAGUGUCAUUAUUGGCAUGGUGUUUUUAUUUAACAUGCACAACCCCUAAUUUAGAUGUAACCACAGUAGAACAAUCUGUUGAAGGAUACUAUUUUCUAUACAAAUCAAAAGAAAGUACUUUAAUGGGAUAAUUCAAAUUUGUUCAUAUCUGCUCAAUCCACAUAUAAGUAUUUUCUUCUACUUGAUAUUACACUGCUACAUUAUAUUAGACACAAAAAGACAGCACAAAUAUCACUAAAUAUUUGAUCCCUUUCUGAUGAACAUACUCCAAUAACAAAUAAAGGCCUAAUGUGAUAACUCUGAAAUACUUAAAUAGGUUUAUGACCUCAUUAAUAUGGAUAUUUCUUCCUUUGAUGAAGAUCUCAAAUAAUCUACCUUGAGGAAAAGUUACACUAGAACAAUUUAUACAAUAACAACAACUUUGUAAGAAAAGAAUUAACAUUGAAAGACUAAGGAUUUUGUUGAGUAAAAUGGCCAGCCAUGUUGCCAAAGGAUUGAUUAUGAAGGAAAUAUUUGGAUAUGGUCAAUGGAAGAAUUUCUUUUGUUUGCUUAUAUGCAUUUCUUAAGCCUUUUUACUUUUCCAAUGGAGAAAAAAUAGAUGUUAAGAGAAAAGAUUAAUUUUUUAAAAAUCUGUGUCAUGGUUCUCAUUCGUGAACUUUUAAAAAAAUGAUUUUGAUACUGGGAUAUCAAUACAAUUGAUUGUUAUUUAUUUUAUUUUAUGUAUCAUAGAAUGUUAUUCUGAGAAUGUAUUCAGAAGUUUGACCACAAUGUCAAAGGAAUCCAUGACAAAAAAAAAAGGAAAAGAGUCCCUUAUUUAUGUUCAUAUAGUUUGUUUCACUAUAGAGGGAGCACCUUUCUUGUUUUGUUUUUGACAUCAUAAGUGAUCCAGGGGAAAAUAUGGGGUAUUUACUGUUGAUCCUACAGUUAAGUUUAGUGAUGGAAGUGAAGGAAUAAAAGAAAUUGAUAUAAGACACAAGUAGUACAGGUGAUGGGUUCAGAUUGGCCACCAAACUUGUUGGUCUAGUCUGAAUACUUUUACCUAACAUCACAGUUCUAACCUCAUUGAUACUUGCUGAAUAUCUAACCCAUAAUAAAGUAUUACCUAACAAUGCCAUUUCAUACAUGAUGUUCACAGAUAUCAUGACUUUUUCUCUUUUUUGGAAGGACUAUCCUUAAAUAUGAUAGUUGAAUUUAGGGGGAAGGGGAGAUAAUCCUUUUCCUUAUUCUUAAUUUUUAAAUUAAGAUGGAGAGAAGAAAAAGUAAUAGAGAUUCAACAUGUAAAGAAUUUCAGUAUUUGUUCUAAUAAAUAGAAUGCUCCAAAAAUAUUAAAAGUAAUGGUGUACCUAUCCAAAAAGCUUCCAGCAGCACCACACAGACAUACCUAACCAUAUUGAGUAAUUCCACUCUAAAGCACAAUGGUGGUAGAUUUAAUCCUGAAGGCAGAUGUUAAAUAUCUUUGAUUAAAAUAUAGCUUUUUAAUCCUAUACUGGACAAUUUAGCUUCUCUAAUUU